GGGGUUGUGAUUCAGUGGUAAAGAGCAUGCCUCACAUGUGUGAGACCCUGGGUUCAAUUCUCAGCACCACA
rnacentral:tRNA from 1 species